CCAAACGGGGUCUUGACUCCUCCAGGUUCGAUUGUGGUGUGGAAGCAGGGGAAAACGUGGAGGAAAUAAGACGAUAGGGAUGGGGACUUAACUGACAUCAUGUUCCCUUGUUUUGGUUGUAGGUGUCCUUUCAUCCCUAUUCACGUCCAAGAUUUAAGGGAUUCGAUGCUCUUGUUCAUUGCAUCAUGUGUCUCAACGGCAGCCUCUAGCGCGCCGCCGGCAUUUUGAUGGAGGAGGCAUGCCGGCACAAUCAUCUUGUCUUGGAUUGAAAGGUUAUCACCUCACAGGUGUCAAUUAUCUACCACCGGAAAUCCAUUGAUAUUUCUUCACCCUGAUCCCACCAUUAAUAAUUUGAAGGUACAAAUUAAUGCAAAGGAUUCAAGUCACUAGAAGAAGAAGGAAGACUAGAGCAAGUCUAGUUUCAUUCAUUAAUUAAUUCACCUUUGCUUGAUGUCAACCAGCUGGCCAAGGUAAUGGAAUUUUUUUUCAAUUCCUCUGGCAGGACACCCUCCCCCUCGAAAUCCAAUCGCUGAAGCAAGCGUAAAAGAAAGAAACCCGCCAGCAGCGGAUGCUUAUCCAUAACCAUAACUAGGUCAUGACUAUAAAAACCCACCCACUUGCAUGGUUUGGUAGUCUGUUGGGGAUAAGAGAUAAACAUGGGGGAUUUGGUAGAACUAAGUGCUCUUUACGCUGUCAUCAUAGUCUUAUUAUAAUGUGUCUUUAUCUUAAAGUUGUGCUUAGUAAUAUAUAUGCUUCCUUCCCUCUCACAAUUCACAAAAAUAAUGUGGGAUUCGUUUUUUUUUUGUUUUUUUUAAUAAAAGAUUGUUCCCAUCUAAUCACACAUCCCUUUUUGCCUGGUUUACAGGGGGCCAACCUGGUCCUCCCUCCCACAUUUCUUAUUAAUUACUCCAACUAAUUAAACAUUAUGUUACAUAAAAUUAGCAUUUUUUUUUUUUAGCAAUGAUUUUGAUGUUUGCA